rnacentral:rRNA from 1 species
GCCAUGCAAGUCGAACGAGUUUAGGCUCGUGGCGUACGGCUCAGUAACACGUGGAUAACCUACCCUUAGGACUGGGAUAACCCUGGGAAACUGGGGAUAAUACUGGAUAGGCAAUUUUUCCUGUAAUGGUUUUUUGUUUAAAUGUUUUUUCGCCUAAGGAUGGGUCUGCGGCCGAUUAGGUAGUUGGUUAGGUAACGGCUUACCAAGCCAUUGAUCGGUACGGGUUGUGAGAGCAAGAGCCCGGAGAUGGAACCUGAGACAAGGUUCCAGGCCCUACGGGGUGCAGCAGGCGCGAAACCUCCGCAAUGUGAGAAAUCGCGACGGGGGGAUCCCAAGUGCCUUUCUUAACGGGAUGGCUUUUCAUUAGUGUAAAGAGCUUUUGGAAUAAGGGCUGGGCAAGACCGGUGCCAGCCGCCGCGGUAACACCGGCAGCUCUAGUGGUAGCAGUUUUUAUUGGGCCUAAAGCGUCCGUAGCCGGUUUAAUAAGUCUCUGGUGAAAUCCUGUAGCUUAACUGUGGGAAUUGCUGGAGAUACUAUUAGACUUGAGACCGGGAGAGGUUAGAGGUACUCCCAGGGUAGAGGUGAAAUUCUGUAAUCCUGGGAGGACCGCCUGUUGCGAAGGCGUCUAACUGGAACGGUUCUGACGGUGAGGGACGAAAGUUAGGGGCGCGAACCGGAUUAGAUACCCGGGUAGUCCUAACUGUAAACGAUGCGGACUUGGUGUUGGGGUGGCUUUGAGCUGUUCCAGUGCCGAAGGGAAGCUGUUAAGUCCGCCGCCUGGGAAGUACGGUCGCAAGACUGAAACUUAAAGGAAUUGGCGGGGGAGCACCACAACGCGUGGAGCCUGCGGUUUAAUUGGAUUCAACGCCGGACAUCUCACCAGAGGCGACAGCUGUAUGAUAGCCAGGCUGAUGACUUUGCUUGACUAGCUGAGAGGUGGUGCAUGGCCA